ensembl:lncRNA LINC02940 long intergenic non-protein coding RNA 2940
ACAAAGUGAGUUGAGCAGUCCCCUGGGGCAGCUAGCUGUGCUGUGGAGAUGCACACAGCUUGAACUGACUCGAUAUUCUUUUUUUUUCAUCAGGUGUCAUCUUGCUGGAGGGCAGAAGGAUUCCCUGGAACCUGGGGGCCAGCAGGACAGAGGAAACAGAAAGUACAUGACCGAUGAUGUCUUUCGACCACAGAAAGGGCUGGAAGAAGCAGGGGACCUACUGUUUGAAUAAACCCAGUGGAAAAACAGAAGCCCCAUUUCAUACUUGACUCAGCUCUUCAAGUUUAAAUCUUGAAUCUCCUCAACUACACGGAACAGUGUCUCUCCCAAGUCAUCUGACACCCACUCUGUUCUCUGGAUCAUUCCUUCCUAGAGAACGUUGCUCUUGGAGGGCUGUGAUCUGCUCUCACCCACUUGCCUUUCUGACCCACUGAGUGCAUCUCAACAGUCACUUGGGGUGAUCCGAUCUGACCAGGAAGGGUUGGGUGGCUCGUGGAGCUUGGGAAGCACUCUCACUGUGGCGGUCCCCAUUGGUGGUCAUGGGGUUGCCACAGUGAGCUACGUUUCUACCCUCAUCUCUCUAUAUGUUACCGUGGAAUCUCUGACUGAGGACCCAUGGGCUCACCCAAUGUGAUAAAGUCCUGAAGCUCAGCCGGGACGUCCGACCCCAGCUGCAGGACUUUCCAAUAGACAGAUGCAUAGAACUUGAGAAGAAAUCGACUUAGAAACCUGAAGUUGGAAAACUGGUUGCCUGACAUUCUGUGCAAGACUGAAUCUCUGAGAAAUGAAGGCUGUGUAACUUUGGGACCAUGUCUUUUCCAGCCUACAUAGACCCCCAGGAAACUUUGCAGUUGUUCCCCAAGUAUGGAUGGAGUCAAACUUGAUGUCCUUUCAUCCCCCCAUCCCAUCCACUAAUCCAUAUCCUUUGGAAAUUUUAGAGUGCCGGGCCUCAUGUAAAUACACCAAAAACAAUUUAAGUCAUUUAUGUUCUACUAA